AUGGUCAGAGUGACACGCUCGCACAGGGAAGAAAAGCAGGUGCAUGGAAGUAGAUUCGGGAAAGUCGCGCGCACGAACGCGCUUCACGCAGAAGCUUCUCCAUCAUCUUGCCUUCUUUCAACAUUCCUAGCGCACAAAGCGCUUUGGAGACUCACUGCAGGCCUUCUCAAUGCUGCCCACGGAGCGGGGAGUGUUCAGAGAGGGUGUCUGUCCAUCGCAUGCACUUGGCGCGCGUGCGCUGGUUGCGCACCAGGAGCCGCUGCCCGACGAGUGCCCCGAGUCCGCGGCCCGCCAGGCUCUGUGGGCUGCGCCGCGCACUUCACAAGAGCUGAGUCACCAGGCCCGCUUCCUGCCCCCUCCUUACCCAGCCUCACGGUGCUCACGCGUCCCGGUCAAGGGCAGCCGCUGCAGCCCUGGGACUCCCAGCCCCGGCCCAUCUUCUAUCCAUCCCUCCCAGGCCCUGAGUCCCUGGGCUGCGGUGCCAACCCGCGAUCUCUGAGCUUCCUGCAGACGCUGCGGCGCGCGCUCCUACCGUUCCCUCCCCCUCGCGCUCGGGUUACAGCAGCGGCGGACUCCUGAGAGCAUGGCCUGGCGUCCGCACAGGGUGGAAUUCGUAUUUGGCCAGGAAUCCGGACUCCGAGCAUCCCAGGAGACGCGGACCGGGGGCCUCCAGAGCUCUCCGGAGCGUGCUGCCGCUCCCCACCGGCCACCAGGGACUUGGAGGCCCUUCUUGGGUCCGGAGAAGCGACGGGGAAACUUAGGGGUAAACUUUGCCAACUUCGCUCUCGGCGCGGGAGAGGCCGCCGGCCGGAAUGGUGCAACAGCGGUGGCGGGCCGCGACGCGCAGGGUGGGCCCCGGGCCAGGGCUGGGCACCCGGGAGCGAGUCGGAAUGCCCAAGGUGGGGCGUGAAGGCGGUGGGCUCUUAGGUCCCCCGCUCCGCCCCUGCGCCUCCUGCGACCCGGCUCACUUCCCUGCGUCUGUCAGCGGCCCGAGAGGCGCAGCACCCUGAGUGACCUGGCUGGAAGAUCCUGGCCCUCCGCGGGAAUGAUUUUCUUUUCUUUUACCUCCUCCGGAUCAGCCGUUUUCCACCUGACUUGAGCAGCCCCCUCCCCCGUGCCUUUGGUUUUCUCUUUCCUUCCGUCUGUCCUUCCCAUUUCCUCUAUCUUCGAUUUCUAGAUCAUUCACUUUUCUUCUCUUUCCUCCGCUCCCUCACUGUGCUGUUUUUAUGCCUUUGCCCUGGACCACUUUUCAGUUCACUUUUCUCCCUUCUGCUCCCUCCUUCACCCCCUUCUUAAUGUCUCUUUUUCCCUCUCCCUGCGUCUGUGACUGUGUCCCUUUCCCCCAUCCGCAGUUCUCGUUUUUAAUUUUCUUUCUUUCCUCCCCACUUCCAUCUGGAUCCUCUCCUAUUUCCUCCUUGGAUUUCUUGUUCUGUCUCUCAGGUUCUCGUCUCCGUAAAUAUUCUCUCUUCUUCUCUCCCUCUCCGGGAUCCGUCCCCUCCCCCACGUGGAUCUGCCUCCCCGGCGCCCCCUCCUCAUUCAUCCUGAGAGAUGAAUUUGUCGCCUUAUUGGACGCCGAGGCCAGAGCGGUGUGAGGGGGCUCGGCCAGCUCUGUGCAUUUUCUUCAUGCAUAUUGAGAAGAUGGUAAUGAGCGCGUUUGCAUUGUUGCUUGGAAAUGUUGUGUUUCCUGCUGCAGUUCGCAGUUCGGAGUGGGCGAGGGUGGUGCGGGCCCAGGACAGCCCCUCAGUAGGCACCCGGCCUGGCGGCCGCCGCUGACCCUCUCCGGAUUCCCGGGCUCUCGGGGCCGGGGGAGGAAGCGACCUUGCCGAGCUCCUGACCCAGCCGCCGCCUCCUCCUCCGGUUUCUCGACAAAGGCCGGCGCGCUCCCCUCAUUAAAGCCUCGUUACAGGAACCCCUGGCUGGCUCGCGACGGCUCCUCUGAGCCCCCCUGCCCACCAGCCUCUGAGCCCCUCCCCUGGUGUUGAGAGGCCUGUGAUGGAGCGCCACGAGAAAAUUAGUGCCUGACAACGUCGUCUAUUGGCAAUAAAUUGAGAUUCCAAGUGACACGUCGCGGGAUCAAACACAACCACAUUGUGUACCCUGCUCCGCUCACUCCUCGUUAAUUUUGGAGGGCGCCUUGGCAUCGCUUGGCCAGGGGAGGUUGUACGCAGGCCUUUCGGCUGUCAGGACUCCGGUCCUGCCUGGGCUCAGCCAGGGCAGAGCCCACUUCAGUCAUUCAGGAGGGACUGACUGCCCCUUCCUGGUAAGGUCCAAGGCGCUCAGGAGGCGUGACCCAGGCACGCCUUUCACUAAGCUGAAGGUUUAUGAAAGUCAGGAGCUUCGAGGAGCAAACUCUGAGUUGAGCUCGUGGGGAAUCGACGUGAGCCUUGCUGGGAAUUGAGAACAUCAAGGUCUGGCCUUGUCUGGAAUUGUCUGGUGUCGAGUUUCCCAAACUUCAAGCUUCUUGCUACCACCUUUAUUAUUUACUUAACAUUUUUCCAUAAAUUGACUCAUUUUUAAAACCAAAGUACAUAUUUUUGGAAAGAAAACCUGAUACUACCACUGUAAAUUGAAAAGUAGCUGUUACUCACCAGAAAAGGAAAUGGUAAAAGAUAAACACAGCUAAAACCAAGCAGUGUUAAUACAUUUUAGCCUUUUUACUGGCUUGGAAAGACUCCUAGAGGCUCAGGGGUGUGUGUGUGUGUGUCAUUAGAGAGUGCUGGAAGUGUUAAAUACUGAAUCUUUCUCAGAAGAAAUGAGACAAUUGAAAAGAGAGUGUUUCUCACUAUUCAAUGUUCAUUUAAUUCAAUGUUAAUUUAAUUCUCUGACCCCAGACUGCACCCUACCUAAAAUAAUGUUGAGAACCUCAAGAGCUGGACUGUUUUAGGACGGUUGAGGAGCAUAUAAAAACAUUAAGAUUAGGCCGGGCACACGGUGGCUCACACCUGUAAUCCCAGCACUUUGGGAGGUCGAGGCAGGUGCAUCACCUGAGGUCAGGAGUUCGAGACCAGCCUGGCCAACAUGGUGAAACCCCAUCUCUACUAAAAAUACAAAAAUUAGCUGGACAUGGUGGCAGGUGCCUGUAAUCCCAGCUUCUCAGGAGGAGAAUUGCUUGAGCUGGGGAUGUGGAGGUUGCAGUGAGCUGAGAUCGCGUCAUUGCACUGCAGCCUGGGGGGCAACAGCGAGACUUCAUCUAAAAAAAAAAAAGAUUAAAAACGUAACGUUGAUUUAUUGUUAUUUACCACAUAAUUGUGUUAAGCAUUUUCAAACAGUGUCAUAUUUAAUUCUCACUAUAAGUCUGCAAGUGAGAGGCUAUCCAGGGUGGCCAUGUGUGGUAGUACAGGAUGUUCACUGAACAAGGGCACUGAGGGGCAAAAAGGGUGUGAAGUCUAGCCCUUCUGUGUGCACCAAUAUGUGUACCUUGGCUUGGGGCCACACUGGAGGAACAGCACCUUUCUCUCAUGUGCACCAAUUUUAUACAAAAUUUGCACAAAAUUGGGUUAUGACCUAACCCUAAUCUUAGAGAUGGGGAAGCUGAGGCUUAGAGAGUUUUGCAAAGCCCAGGCUAGAAUACUGUCUGGUAUUUUUAACUAUGAUCCCUUUGGGAGGGAGAGCAGUCCUUUUGUGGGCUUGGGGAGGUAAUGCUGAGAGUUUGGGGGAAAGAUGCUGAAAGACUAGUCCCUGAUUUGACUGAAGGAAAGGGGCAAUCAGGCUGCCCAACUUUGCGUCCCCCUGAAUCUUUACACUUCCCACAAAUAUUGGGGAAGAUUUGGGCAGAAAUACAACUGGGGUCAAGGAUCCAUUAUCCCUGCUAGCGGCUAGGUUGAGGGAGAGGAAGAAGGUGUUCUGGUUUGCUUAGGCCUGACUCUGGAUGUCUGGAACUGUUUCUUGACUUUGUUGUUUUUGUUCAGCUUAUCCGUAUGAGUCGACGCACCAGAGUUCUGCCUUGUUCUCAUUUACACUGUUUGGAAAUUGCAGAUUCUUAAAGACAAACUGAGGGAUUGCAGCACACCAGCGGUUGUGAAUCAGUGGUUGCCUCUGAUCACAAUCUCUUUUUUUUUAUUUUUGGUUUGGCCUCCAUAGUGGCCUUUCCCUCCCUCCCCCCUUUUUGAUUGAAUUGCUUGCUAGCACUUGCUAAUUAGGUGAUUUCAUUUAAAAAUCCAGGCCUCCGGGUUUGUUUAAAAAAUUGGAAGGCUAAGAAAUACAAGACUUCUUUAUGAGAACAAAUACCUAGAGUUCAUAGCUGCUGCCCUUCUAUCUGGACACACUCUAGUUUGCUCCAGUCCCCAUCUGGCCCACGUCUCUCAAUUGCUUUCAGGCAGCUGAGUUUGUUAGCCCUAUUUUGUAUCAUCAGUUGUGAUAAUGGGACACCGUUGCAAGUAGACACUGUCCUC
ensembl:lncRNA